rnacentral:rRNA from 1 species
UGCCCAGACUCCUACGGGAGGCAGCAGUGGGGAAUAUUGCGCAAUGGACGAAAGUCUGACGCAGCGACGCCGCGUGAGGGAUGAAGGUUUUCGGAUCGUAAACCUCUGUCAGGAGGGAAGAAAGCGCAUGGCGCCAAUCAGCCAUGCGUUGACGGUACCUCCAAAGGAAGCGCCGGCUAACUCCGUGCCAGCAGCCGCGGUAAUACGGAGGGCGCGAGCGUUAUCCGGAUUUAUUGGGUUUAAAGGGUGCGCAGGCGGAGGUGCAAGUCAGCGGUCAAAUUGCGGGGCUCAACCCCGUACUGCCGUUGAAACUGCAUCCCUUGAGUGCGCGAGAAGUAUGCGGAAUGCGUGGUGUAGCGGUGAAAUGCAUAGAUAUCACGCAGAACUCCGAUUGCGAAGGCAGCAUACCGGCGCGCAACUGACGCUCAUGCACGAAAGUGUGGGUAUCGAACAGGAUUAGAUACCCGCGUA